AUGCCUCCUAAUCUCGCUGAAAGGCUUGCCGCCGCAUCCGGCGUUUUGCUCUCCACAGGAGACUUGCUCGUCUCCCUGCCAGCAGAUCCGGCUCCCCUCCGCGCCGGCGUAGCCGCCGCCGCCACAGAUGGGAUCGGUGUAGGUUUUUUUCACCGCAGCUGCAUCUUUCCCUCCUUCUCCCCCCGCAAUGAGCGCCGCUCCAACGCGCGGAGGAUCAGAGUAUUCACGACCACCACGCGCUCACCGCCAGCCGUCGCCACGGACGCCAAGCACUCCACCCCCGGCACUUCAUCUUCGGGCAGCGAAGGCGAGACCGGCCGGAAACAGCUUCUUCCCAUUCGCCGGAGUUCCCGCGAUCCUCGCAGGUGCCGGCAUACCUCGGCCCCGUUCUCGAUGGCAGAGGCAGGCCUUGAACGGUCAACACCUUCAUCAAUGGUGGACGGCCUUAAACCAGGGCAAAGGAAGGUUUUGUUCGGCUCGUUCAAGAGGAACUUGAUUGAAGAAACUAAGGUGUCGCACUUGGCUGCUUAUGUGUCAGAACACGCAGCAUACCGCCAUGGCGAUCAGAGUCUGGCCAACAUAAUCAUAGGAAUGGCUCAAGAUUUUGUUGGCAGCAACAAUAUCAUCCUUUUGGAGCCCCGCGGCCAGUUCGGCACCAGGUGCCGAGGGGGCGAAGAUGCUGCUGAUGCCGCAUAUAUCUACACCAGAUUAGCACCUAUCACCCGUUUAAUUUUUCCAAAGGAUGAUGAUGUUCUUCUCUAUUAUUUGAAUGAAGAUGGAAAGUCGGUUGAACCCAGUUGGUAUAUGCCGAUCAUGCCCAUGGUUUUGGUCAAUGGAAGUGAAGGCAUUGGCACUGGAUGGAGCAGCUAUGUUCCAAACUAUAAUCCUAGAGACAUUAUUGCUAAUCUGAAAAGGUUACUAGAUGGAGAGACUGUGAUACCAAUGGACCCUUGGUACAAGGGGUUCAAGGGCUCUUUGAAGGAGACAAGUUCAAAAGAAGGUGGUGUCACAUAUACCAUCACUGGUGUUAUAGAGGAAGUUGAUGACACCAAGCUUAGAAUUACGGAGCUUCCCAUCCGCUGCUGGACUGAAGAUUACCAAGAGUUCCUUGAAUCCAUGUGUCCUUGGUGGCAUGAUGAGGACAAGGACAAGGAACCACCAUUUCUAGAGGGUCUUGAGCUAGCAGAGCAGAGGAUGACCAAUCCCCAAGGGCAACGAAGGAUGAAUGGCGGCAAGGAGCUCCCUAGUGACGCCUUCAAGAAGGUGGACGACAUCCGAGGAUGA
rnacentral:rRNA from 1 species